AAUGAAAACAUGGACUCCCCAUAUUCACAGCAGAGAAGUUUUUCACAUUGAACACAGACCAGAGAAGUGUUUCCACUAAUUUAUAUCUGAUAUGUGAAGGGCUAAGAAGUCAUCACUCCCAUCUUCAUAACAAGAAAAAAAGCUGAACAAACUGGAAAUCAACAACUAUGCUUAGGUUCAUCAGAAAACUGAGGUCAUUGGCUAAAUUGCAGCCCUGGAAGACAGACACAUGGAUACAGAGAAUCAUAGCUUAACAGGAACAGAAAACUGGAAGCAGAAGGCCUUAGCUUUCUGUAGGAACACUAACUGUCAUUGGUGAAUUGCUGGAAGGUUAGUGUGGACUAGCUUGUGAGUUAAAAAAUCCAAAGGGACCCAGUCUCAGGGGCACCCCGCACUUUCAUGAGUUUUACCUCCAGGAAACCUACCAGGUUCUCAAUAUCCCCUGUGCUUCUGGCAGGGAGAGGAAAGCUCUGAAAUACAUCCAGACCUCUCUGAUCUCCUUAAAAAAGCUUGUCCCUAAGGGAAUCUAUUUUACCAGAACCUAACAGGCUGGAGUUUUACCAAAGCCUGAUCAACAAAAUAUCCAACUCAGGCUCGCUAAAAGACUGAGACUUAAUUAUGGACAGGAGAACACUUCCUCUUCUCCCACACCUUGCGACCACAUCAAUAAGGCUAUUGUAUAAUAACAGGGGAUUACAGCAAAAAGAACUGCAGGCCUCUGACCAUAUUUAAAGAGUGCCAAAGGAAACCCAAAGACAAUAGAGUAGACAAAAGCAAGGAUACUAGAGGAAAUUUUAGUCUCUGACACUAUAGCUACAGCAAAUAGUAAGCAGAAUCUAACUCCUAGUCACAUAAAUAUAAAACCUUGCACUAAAGACCUAUCUAUCACAGUUCCUUUUAUAUCAUAUCCAGCCUUCAACAAAGAAUUACAAGCCACUCUAAAAGGCAAAAACAAAGUCUGAAGAGACAAAGCAAGCAUCAGAACCAGACUCAAGUGUGGCACAGAUUUGGGAACUAUCAGACAAGGAAUUUAAAACAACUAUGAUUAAUACGCCAAUGGUUCUAAUGGAAAAAGUGGACAGUGCAAGAACAAGUGAGUAAUAAAAGCAGAGAGAUGAAAGUGCAAAGAAGGAAACAAAUGAAAAUGCAAGAAAUCAAAAACACUGUAACAUAAAUAAUGCCUUUGAUGGGCUCAUAAGUAGAUUGGACAUAGCUGAGGAAAGAAUCAGUGAGCUUAAAGAUGAGUCCACAGAAACUCCCCAAACUGAAAUGCAAAAAGAAAAAAGAAAUAAAAAGUCAGAACAGAGUAUCUAAGAACUGUGGGCUAUUAGAAAAGGUAUAUGAUACAGUUUAGAUGUUCUGCCCCCUCCAAAUUUCAUGUUGAAAUGUGAUCCCCAAUGCUAGAGGUGGGGCCUGGUAGGAGGUGUUUCGGUCAUGGGGGCAGAUGCAUCAGGGAUGGCUUAGUGCCCUCCUCAUGAUAAUGAAUGAGUUAUCAUUCUACGUUCAUGUGAGUCCUGGUUGUUUAAAAGAAUGUGGUAUCUCGUCACUUUCCCUCUCUCAGCAUGUGAUAUGCUAGCUGCCCUUUCCUUCUGCCAUGAUUGUAAGCUUCCUGAGGACCUAACCAGAAGUAGAUGGUGGCACCUUGCUUCCUGUACAGCCUGCAGAACCAUGGGCCAAAAUGAAUCUGUUUUCUUUAUACAUUAACCAGUCUCAGGUAUUCCUUUAUAGCAAUGCAAAUGGACUGACACAGAAUAACACAUGUAUAAUGGGAAUACUGGAAGGAGGAGAGAAAAAGGAACAGAAGCAACAUUUAAAGCAACAAUUACUGAGAAUGUCCCAAAAUGAAUGACAGACACAAAGCUACAGAUCUGCAAAACUCAGAGAACAUCUAGGAGGAUAAAUACCAAAAAACCUAUAUCUAGGCAUAUUAUAUUCGAAUUAUAGAAAAUCUUUUUUAAAAGCUAGAGGAAAAAGAACACCUUACCUACAGUUGCACAAGUAUAAGAUUUACACCAAACUUAUACUCAGAAACCAUAUAAGCAAGAAGAGUGUGGAGUAAAAUAUUUAUCCCGUCUUAAAAAAAAAGACUACUAACCUAAAAUUCUGUAUCCAACAGAAUUAUCCUUCAAAAGUGAAGAAGUUUGGGAAAAAUAAAAAAGUUCUGGGGGUGGAUGGUGGUGAUAGUGGUACAACAAUGUGAAUGUACUUAAUGCCACUGAACUAUACACUUAAAAGUGGUUAAAAUAGUAUAUUUUAUGUUAUAUAUAUUUUGCCACAAUUUUUUAAAGUGAAGUAGUAAAUACUAAAGACUUUCUGAGACCAACAAAAAUGGAGAAAAUUUGUCACCAGUAGACUUGCCUUGCAAGUAAUAUUUUAAAAAGUUCUUCAGAGAGAAGAAAAAUAUAUCGGCAGAAACUCAGAUCUGUAUUAAAAAAAAUGGAAGAGCAUUAGGAAAGAAAAAAAGAAGGUAAAAUAUUAAAUUUUUCUUAUUAUUUAUUGAUCUAACAGAACAGUUUGUUCAAAAUAACAAUGACAAUGCAUUCAGUGAUUAUAGCUUAUUUGUGAAUGAAAUGAAUGAUAGUCAUUUUAUAAGAGACAAGAGAGAAGAAUUGGGAAUACUGUUUUAUAUAGUACUUGUACUACCAUGAUGUGGUAUAAUAUUACUUAAAAGUGCACUUAGAUUGGUUGUAAACAUAUUCUAAAAACUCUAGGGCAACCACUAAAAAUCGUACUUAAAAAAGAAGUAUAAUUAAUAUGCCAAGAGAAGAAAAAGUAGAAUCAUAUAAAUUGCCUAAUUAAAACCAGAGAAGUGGAAGACAAAAAAGCAAAGAAAAGAGAGAAAGAAAAAAGUAAGAAUGAAUGAGCAAACAAAGGAAAGAAAUAGAAAAUAUGUACAAAUAUGAUCGCUAUUAAUCCAACUAUAUCAAUCACUUUAAAUGUGAAUAGUCUAAAUACAUCAAUUAAAAGACAAAGACUGUCAAAGUGGAUAAACAAACAAGACCCAAUUAUAACUUGUCUACUAGAAACCCACCUUAAAUAUAAAGUUACAGAUUAAUUUCACUAUGCAGGUGAAGGAAAAUGAGACUCAGAGGACUAAGGCAUCAUAUUCUUGCAGAUUUUAAGUGGCAGAGCCAGAAUCAGACUGAAGUUUAGUUAACUACAUAGUCUCUAGUCUCUCCUUCAAACUGUGUUGCCUGGAAAGGGUCUUUAUAUUUCAUGCUGUGAGAAACAGAUAAUCUCUUCCAAAGUUUACUCGUAAUACAUCAGAUUACCCUGGCCAAUUCUCUUUUUCAGUCUCAUUUUAUUUAUUUAGUUAGUUAGUUAGUCAGUUAGUUAGUUUUUGAGAUGGAGUCUCGCUCUGUCGCCCAGGCUGGAGUGCAGUGGCACGAUCUCAGCUCACUGCAAGCUGCGCCUCCCGGGUUCAUGCCAUUCUCCUGCUUCAGCUCCCGAGUAGCUGGGACUACAGGCGCCUGCCACCACGCCCGGCUAAUAUAUAUAUAUAUAUAUAUAUAUUUUAGUAGAGACAGGGCUUCGCCGUGUUAGCCAAGAUGGUUUAGUCUCAUUUUUUUUUUUUUUUUUUUUUUUUUGAGACGGAGUCUGGCUCUGUCGCCCAGGCUGGAGUGCAGUGGCGCGAUGGUUUAGACUCAUUUUUAAAAGACUUUAGUUGUUCAGAAGAGUAGAGUGAUAUAGUUGAAUAGUGGCAAAAGAACUAACUGAGGGGCAAAAAGAGGCUAUUAACAGUUAUUGAGAGACUGUAUGUACAUGACAUUCUCCUAGACCCUGGUAGAGCAUAGCGACAACACUGUCACCUCAAAUGAAGAACAUUACAAUCUAGAAAUGGAAAUCUCAACACCUUAUUUUUUUUCUAGGCCUACUAGAAAAAAUAAAAAAGUAAAUUAGUAUAAUCCACUUUUACCAAAAAUUUUCAAAAUUUUCAAAAUUCCUUGAGAAUAUUUAUAGACUUCUAAAAGUAAAACAUAAAAUUGUUUUAGACAAUUAUCCAACAUUUGAAAAUAAAGCAAAGUUUGAAUGUCUCUUCCAUGAUAAAAUGGAGCAUAGCCCAAGAAGCCAUCAAAGCAUUAUUUAAUUAUCUAUGUGGUUAUAGUUUUGUGUGACCUACUGUUUACUACUGAAUUGACCCAGCAUUAUGAAGCUGUAAAUUGACUGGUAGAUUUGUGUCUUGAAGAAAUGCAAAUUGCUUCUACCCAGAAAAGAAAAAAAAAAAGAUAAUCUCAAAGGUUAUAGUUUUAUUUUCCUACUGGAUGUUUGAUAAUUUAAUAUGUAUACUAGAAAACGAAUUCAUAUGAUUUUCCUGAGAAAAUAUACAACCUAUACAACCUACACAGCCUACUCAUCUAGUUCUCUUGAACCAGCUGUACCAUCUUGCUGGUUCUCUCAUUAAAUAAGCUAAAUCAAUCUUUGACAAAUGUUCCCUCUAUAUUUGUGUAAGAGUCAUGUUUUCAACUUUUUAAAAAAAUUAUAUUUUGACAGAUUUGAAGGUUGCCCUAAAGGUGCAUAGUGUGUUCACCUGCUAGAGCUAGUUAAGCAGAGUUGCCCAAGAAACUCCUGGGGUGAAUCACAAACAGCAAUAGAAUUUUCCCUUUCGGACUGUCAGAUUUGUCUUCUGAUUCUGUUUUUCUUUUCUUUUCUUUUUUUCUGGUUUGUUUCAUUGUCGCUCCUGAUCUUGGCCAGGAAGUUCCACAUUUGUUUAACUUAUUGUCUAGGAUUAUGUCCAUUUUCACAACUGCUACUGGAUCACAAGGUUGGGCUUAAUUAUGUAAUCAAGAGAACCCUCAUGUAUAAAACAGGUGUAUAAAACAGCCGAUUCCAGAGACUAGUAGGUACUGAAUAACUAGGUGAGUAGAGGUCACAUAAUCUAUAAAAUGUUCCCCCUUUGGAAUGACAAUAAUUAGCAAUCUGGUUUUAUGACAAGAUCACUUGGUAACCUAUAUUAGGAUGAUGAGAAUAUAUUCUUUGUUGAGUGGUAGAAGACAGAGAAUAUGGUUAGUUGUUCCAUAUUUUUUGUGUGUCUAUUUGUCUGCUUAAAUCCAUAAAGAAAACAUUCAUUUUUCACUGAAAAGGAGAAUAACCAUUGAGACUGUGUGUCUUUUGCUUGAGGUUGUGGAACUGAAUUUCAAGUCCUGUAGGUGGUUGUGUAUUUAACUGAGAAAAAAACCUUUCACCACUAUUUACCAUAUUUAGUAUUCAUAUAUGCAUAUAACUAUUUAUCAUAAUAAGAAUAUGAAGUCUUUUCUUCUAGGAUAUACCAAUAAAUUAAAUUACAAUGUGUCUUCAGUAAAAACAGCUUUUUCUAAUAUUAGAGUCUAUUAAAUACUUGUACAAAUUUAAUAGUCCCAGAAUUCUCAUAAAAUAAAGAAACUGAUCUCUAAUAUAAUGAAUGUUCUAGUCUUUUAAGGAAAAAUAAAUUUCCAGAUAAAAAUGCUGCCUCAGAAGCAUUGUUAGUAUGUAAGAAUCAAGAUGAAUCUUUAGAUAUAUAUUGGUUUGGUAAUUUUAGUUUACAAAAUUUUCCUUGUUUUGUCAUUACGAAAAAUAAACAUCAUUUAACUUAAUUUUUUUAAUUUAUAUUUCUUUUCUAAUGAAGACAUUAGUUAAUCUUAAAUUUGGUUACAACUUAUGGCUUAUAUGGGUGGUCACGGUAAAUGAAUGAGCAUGUUUGUGUUCCAAUAAAAGUAUUUACAAAAACAGGUGGGCUGGAUUUAGGUAGUGAGUCGCCAGAGUCCCAACCUGACAAGUAUGAAAAAAGAAAAAAAGGUACUUCCUGGUUAAUUUAACUCGGACUACCUUUCCUAAUGAAUUAUUUGACUUCUGUUUCUUCCUUUAACCAUCUUUUCAUCCUGAUGAUUUCCUUCAUUGAGCCAAAUAAACGUUAAGCAUAUGCUUGUUUUAUAUUUCUAUAUUUUUACUAUUUAAAAAAAAAUUUUUUUGAUAGAAUCAAAUAACAGAGGACCAGGCAUGGUGGCUCACACCUGUAAUCCGAAUACUUUUGGAGGCCGAGGCAAGCGGAUCACCUCAGGUCAGGAAUUCGAGACCAGCCUGGCCAACAUAGUGAAACUCCAUUUCGACUAAAAACACAAAAAUUAGCCAGGAGUGGUGGUGCAUACCUGUAAUCCCACCUACUGGGAAGCCUUAGGUAAGAGAAUCACGAACCUGGGAGGCAGAGGUUGCAGUGAGCCGAGACCAUGCCACUGCACUCCAGCCUGGCUGACACAGCGAGACUUUGUCUCAAAAAAAAAAAAAAAAUCAGAUAACAAAAUAACAGAGCCACAUACAAAAAUCUUAUUAGAACUGAUGCAAAUGUAGAUGGGGCCAAUACGGUAUAGACUAUGCAGAUGAUACAAAAGAGCUUAAAACUAUGAUUCUGCUGUGACAAAAGUUUCCAUCAAAUAUGUGUCCCUAAGCCUUCAACUCCUUUUUAGUCAUUAUUUAUCCACUUCUUGUCAUUGAUUAAUGAGAAUAAAAGCCACCCUAUUGCACAGGAAAAAAAUCAUACACUGAAUUUAUUAAAUACAUAAUUUAAUGCAAAUAUGAUUAAAUAAACUUUGUCUUUUCAGUGUGAAUCACAAUGAAUUCUAUGAGGAAAUAAUAGAUUUGCUCUUUAUUUUUAAUAGGUUUCUGUCUCAGAUGGUAUGCAAUUCAGCAUAUACCAAGUAUUGAAUAUUGUGAUGAUGCAGGGCUAAUAAUUUCAUGUAGCUGUUUACAUUUUAUUUUCCACAAAUACCUUAAUGAUAUCUCUGGCACCACAGGAUAUCAAUGACUAAAUUUUUAUGCUUUAUCUCUAGUCUGUAGAAAUUAAAGUGUUUAAGUUGUCCUUUGGCAUGCUACUGUUUUGAACAAUUAAAGUGUUUGAUCUAGUUUAAAUGAUGUUACAUUUAUUAAGACACACUUGCCUAAAAUAUCAAUUUCCUUUUCUAAUUUAGUAUUCUCCUAGAAUUUUACUCUAAUUAAUGUAGACAAUUUUACCUGGACAUGUGAGAGUUUGCUCUCCUUUGAAUGUGAUGUAAUUUAUCAUGUUUAUAUGUACACUGAUCCUUUUCC
rnacentral:lncRNA from 1 species